UGGUCAUAUGCAUGAGACUUCGGAUAGCAGGAUUGGGUGAAAAGGUGGAAAACUACCAUAACUUGUCUGCCUGACUACUAAACUGAAAUACACCGGAAACUUAUAUUCAAUGGGAGUAUCUCUUCAACACUCUGUCUAAAGAAAUUCUAGUAGCAUUAUGGAGCAAAAGAUCUUGGACAAUGCAACUUUUUGUUUUUCA
rnacentral:lncRNA from 1 species